UUCCGGUUGAUCCCGCCGGACCUGACUGCUAUCGGAUUGAUACUAAGCCAUGCGAGUCAUUGUAGCAAUACAAGGCAGACGGCUCAGUAACGCGUAGUCAACCUAACCUAUGGACGGGAAUAAUCUCGGGAAACUGAGAAUAAUGCCCGAUAGAACACUAUAUCUGGAAUGGUUUGUGUUCCAAAUGAUUUAUCGCCGUAGGAUGGGACUGCGGCCUAUCAGUUUGUUGGUGAGGUAAUGGCCCACCAAGACUAUUACAGGUACGGGCUCUGAGAGGAGUAGCCCGGAGAUGGGUACUGAGACACGGACCCAGGCCCUAUGGGGCGCAGCAGGCGAGAAAACUUUGCAAUGUGCGAAAGCACGACAAGGUUAAUCCGAGUGGUUUCUGCUAAAGGAACCUUUUGUCGGUCCUAGAAACACCGAUGAAUAAGGGGUGGGCAAGUUCUGGUGUCAGCCGCCGCGGUAAAACCAGCACCUCAAGUGGUCAGGAUGAUUAUUGGGCCUAAAGCAUCCGUAGCCUGCUUUGUUAGUUUUCGGUUAAAUCUAUACGCUCAACGUAUAGGCUGCCGGGAAUACUGCAAAGCUAGGGAGUGGGAGAGGUAGACGGUACUCGGUAGGAAGGGGUAAAAUCCUUUGAUCUAUUGAUGACCACCUGUGGCGAAGGCGGUCUACCAGAACACGUCCGACGGUGAGGGAUGAAAGCUGGGGGAGCAAACCGGAUUAGAUACCCGGGUAGUCCCAGCCGUAAACCAUGCAAACUCAGUGAUGCAUUGGCUUGUGGCCAAUGCAGUGCUGCAGGGAAGCCGUUAAGUUUGCCGCCUGGGAAGUACGUACGCAAGUAUGAAACUUAAAGGAAUUGGCGGGGGAGCACCACAAGGGGUGAAGCCUGUGGUUCAAUUGGAGUCAACGCCGGG
rnacentral:rRNA from 1 species